rnacentral:rRNA from 1 species
CCCUUAGAUGUUCUGGGCCGCACGCGCGCUACACUGAUGAAUUCAACGAGCACUAACCUGUGCAGAAAUGUUCGGGUAAUCUUGUGAAAUUUCAUCGUGAUGGGGAUUGGUUAUUGCAAUUAUUAAUCAUAAACGAGGAAUGCCUAGUAAGCGUGAGUCAUCAGCUCACGUUGAUUACGUCCCUGCCCUUUGUACACACCGCCCGUCGCUCCUACCGAUUGAAUGUGCUGGUGAAAAGUUCGGAUUGGGAAUAGGAGACGGCAACGUAUCCUGUUUCUGAGAAAAUCUUUAAACCCUCCCAUUUAGAGGAAGGAGAAGUCGUAACA